CAGCAUUCUGGGACGCUCUCUGCAGUACUGGUUGGGAUGGUUCAGGACCACGUACAGGAUGUCACGCAGCUUGGUUGUGACGCACGAGUUCUAAAAAGAACAUUCUGAGAUGAUGCAACAAGGAUCUCUUUGGGGCAGAGGGCGUCGGUGAUGGAGAGGAGUUCGCUUUCAGGCAGGGGGGGGAGGAGGAGACGCAGGGCCUCCAGGAGACCCUCAGCGGACACCUGACUCUGCUUCACCAACCGAGAUGCAAACUCCAGAUCCUGUGAGGAAACGCAGAGGCAGCUUCAACACACCGUUUCUUCUACUUGUCCCUGUAUUUUCCCAUUCCGUUUAUAUGACAUUGUGUUCAAUAUAACAUUGAAAAGAAAAGAAAGAAGAAAAUGUUCCAGAAAUUCCAACCUGGUCACAGUUUGCAUAAAGCCUCCUGAGCUCCAGUUGCUCUUUUAAAUCCUC